AUGAACAAGGAGAGGCUCAUGAAGAUGGUCGGCGCCGUCCGCACCGGCGGCAAUGGCACCGUGCACUGGAAGAAGAAGGCGGUGCACAAGAUGGCGACCACGGAUGACAAGUGGCUGCAGAGCAUGCUCAAGAGGGUGGGCGUCAACACCAUCCCCGCAAUCGAGCAGGUCAACAUCUUCAAGGACGACCUCGUCAUCCAGUUCCUCAACCCCAAAGUGCAAGCCUCCAUCGCGGCAAACACAUGGGUGGUCAGUGGGACUCCCCAGACCAAGAAGCUACAAGAUGUUCUUCCUUUGAUCAUCAACCAAUUGGGUAUGCUACUCCCUCAUCGAGGAACUCCAUUGAGAUAG
rnacentral:rRNA from 1 species